rnacentral:rRNA from 1 species
UACAGAGGUGGCAAGCGUUGUUCGGAAUUACUGGGCGUAAAGGGCGCGUAGGCGGCCAUCUAAGUCAGACGUGAAAUCCCCCGGCUUAACCUGGGAACUGCGUCUGAUACUGGAAGGCUUGGGUAUGGGAGAGGGAUGUAGAAUUCCAGGUGUAGCGGUGAAAUGCGUAGAUAUCUGGAGGAAUACCGGUGGCGAAGGCGGCAUCCUGGACCAUUACUGACGCUGAGGCGCGAAAGCUAGGGGAGCAAACGGG